rnacentral:rRNA from 1 species
AUUGGGCGUAAAGCGAGCGCAGGCGGUUUUUUAAGUCUGAUGUGAAAGCCCUCGGCUUAACCGAGGAAGUGCAUCGGAAACUGGGAAACUUGAGUGCAGAAGAGGACAGUGGAACUCCAUGUGUAGCGGUGAAAUGCGUAGAUAUAUGGAAGAACACCAGUGGCGAAGGCGGCUGUCUGGUCUGUAACUGACGCUGAGGCUCGAAAGCAUGGGUAGCGAACAGGAUUAGAUACCCUGGUAGUCCAUGCCGUAAACGAUGAAUGCUAGGUGUUGGAGGGUUUCCGCCCUUCAGUGCCGCAGCUAACGCAUUAAGCAUUCCGCCUGGGGAGUACGACCGCAAGGUUGAAACUCAAAGGAAUUGACGGGGGCCCGCACAAGCGGUGGAGCAUGUGGUUUAAUUCGAAGCAACGCGAAGAACCUUACCAGGUCUUGACAUCUUUUGAUCACCUGAGAGAUCAGGUUUCCCCUUCGGGGGCAAAAUGACAGGUGGUGCAUGGUUGUCGUCAGCUCGUGUCGUGAGAUGUUGGGUUAAGUCCCGCAACGAGCGCAACCCUUAUGACUAGUUGCCAGCAUUUAGUUGGGCACUCUAGUAAGACUGCCGGUGACAAACCGGAGGAAGGUGGGGGAUGACGUCAAAUCAUCAUGCCCCUUAUGACCUGGGCUACACACGUGCUACAAUGGAUGGUACAACGAGUUGCGAGACCGCGAGGUCAAGCUAAUCUCUUAAAGCCAUUCUCAGUUCGGACUGUAGGCUGCAACUCGCCUACACGAAGUCGGAAUCGCUAGUAAUCGCGGAUCAGCACGCCGCGGUGAAUACGUUCCCGGGCCUUGUACACACCGCCCGUCACACCAUGAGAGUUUGUAACACCCGAAGCCGGUGGCGUAACCCUUUUAGGGAGCGAGCCGUCUAAUGUGGGACAAAUGAUUAGGGUGAAGUCGUAACAAGGUAACCCGUAAAGGC